rnacentral:rRNA from 1 species
GGGUUGUGAGGUUAAGCGACUAAGCGUACACGGUGGAUGCCCUGGCAGUCAGAGGCGAUGAAGGACGUGCUAAUCUGCGAAAAGCGUCGGUAAGGUGAUAUGAACCGUUACAGCCGGCGAUGUCCGAAUGGGGAAACCCAGUGUGAUUCGUCACACUAUCGUUAACUGAAUACAUAGGUUAACGAGGCGAACCGGGGGAACUGAAACAUCUAAGUACCCCGAGGAAAAGAAAUCAACCGAGAUUCCCCCAGUAGCGGCGAGCGAACGGGGAGCAGCCCAGAGUCUGAAUCAGCUUGUGUGUUAGUGGAACGGUCUGGAAAGUCCGACGGUACAGGGUGAUAGUCCCGUACACCAAAAUGCACAGGCUGUGAACUCGAAGAGUAGGGCGGGACACGUGGUAUCCUGUCUGAAUAUGGGGGGACCAUCCUCCAAGGCUAAAUACUCCUGACUGACCGAUAGUGAACCAGUACCGUGAGGGAAAGGCGAAAAGAACCCCGGCGAGGGGAGUGAAAAAGAACCUGAAACCGUGUACGUACAAGCAGUGGGAGCACCUUCGGGUGUGACUGCGUACCUUUUGUAUAAUGGGUCAGCGACUUAUAUUCUGUAGCAAGGUUAACCGUAUAGGGGAGCCGCAGGGAAACCGAGUCUUAACUGGGCGUUAAGUUGCAGGGUAUAGACCCGAAACCCGGUGAUCUAGCCAUGGGCAGGUUGAAGGUUGGGUAACACUAACUGGAGGACCGAACCGACUAAUGUUGAAAAAUUAGCGGAUGACUUGUGGCUGGGGGUGAAAGGCCAAUCAAACCGGGAGAUAGCUGGUUCUCCCCGAAAGCUAUUUAGGUAGCGCCUCGUGAAUUCAUCUUCGGGGGUAGAGCACUGUUUCGGCUAGGGGGUCAUCCCGACUUACCAACCCGAUGCAAACUACGAAUACCGAAGAAUGUUAUCACGGGAGACACACGGCGGGUGCUAACGUCCGUCGUGAAGAGGGAAACAACCCAGACCGCCAGCUAAGGUCCCAAAGUCAUGGUUAAGUGGGAAACGAUGUGGGAAGGCACAGACAGCCAGGAUGUUGGCUUAGAAGCAGCCAUCAUUUAAAGAAAGCGUAAUAGCUCACUGGUCGAGUCGGCCUGCGCGGAAGAUGUAACGGGGCUAAACCAUGCACCGAAGCUGCGGCAGCGACACUAUGUGUUGUUGGGUAGGGGAGCGUUCUGUAAGCCUGCGAAGGUGUGCUGUGAGGCAUGCUGGAGGUAUCAGAAGUGCGAAUGCUGACAUAAGUAACGAUAAAGCGGGUGAAAAGCCCGCUCGCCGGAAGACCAAGGGUUCCUGUCCAACGUUAAUCGGGGCAGGGUGAGUCGACCCCUAAGGCGAGGCCGAAAGGCGUAGUCGAUGGGAAACAGGUUAAUAUUCCUGUACUUGGUGUUACUGCGAAGGGGGGACGGAGAAGGCUAUGUUAGCCGGGCGACGGUUGUCCCGGUUUAAGCAUGUAGGCUGGUUGUCCAGGCAAAUCCGGAUAAUCAAGGCUGAGGUGUGAUGACGAGGUACUACGGUGCUGAAGUAACAAAUGCCCUGCUUCCAGGAAAAGCCUCUAAGCAUCAGGUAACAUCAAAUCGUACCCCAAACCGACACAGGUGGUCAGGUAGAGAAUACCAAGGCGCUUGAGAGAACUCGGGUGAAGGAACUAGGCAAAAUGGUGCCGUAACUUCGGGAGAAGGCACGCUGGUGUGUAGGUGAAGUCCCUGCGGAUGGAGCUGAGACCAGUCGAAGAUACCAGCUGGCUGCAACUGUUUAUUAAAAACACAGCACUGUGCAAACACGAAAGUGGACGUAUACGGUGUGACGCCUGCCCGGUGCCGGAAGGUUAAUUGAUGGGGUUAUCCGUAAGGAGAAGCUCUUGAUCGAAGCCCCGGUAAACGGCGGCCGUAACUAUAACGGUCCUAAGGUAGCGAAAUUCCUUGUCGGGUAAGUUCCGACCUGCACGAAUGGCGUAAUGAUGGCCAGGCUGUCUCCACCCGAGACUCAGUGAAAUUGAACUCGCUGUGAAGAUGCAGUGUACCCGCGGCAAGACGGAAAGACCCCGUGAACCUUUACUAUAGCUUGACACUGAACAUUGAGCCUUGAUGUGUAGGAUAGGUGGGAGGCUUUGAAGCGUGGACGCCAGUCUGCGUGGAGCCAACCUUGAAAUACCACCCUUUAAUGUUUGAUGUUCUAACGUUGGCCCCUUACCGGGGUUGCGGACAGUGUCUGGUGGGUAGUUUGACUGGGGCGGUCUCCUCCCAAAGCGUAACGGAGGAGCACGAAGGUUAGCUAAUCCUGGUCGGACAUCAGGAGGUUAGUGCAAUGGCAUAAGCUAGCUUGACUGCGAGCGUGACGGCGCGAGCAGGUGCGAAAGCAGGUCAUAGUGAUCCGGUGGUUCUGAAUGGAAGGGCCAUCGCUCAACGGAUAAAAGGUACUCCGGGGAUAACAGGCUGAUACCGCCCAAGAGUUCAUAUCGACGGCGGUGUUUGGCACCUCGAUGUCGGCUCAUCACAUCCUGGGGCUGAAGUAGGUCCCAAGGGUAUGGCUGUUCGCCAUUUAAAGUGGUACGCGAGCUGGGUUUAGAACGUCGUGAGACAGUUCGGUCCCUAUCUGCCGUGGGCGCUGGAGAAUUGAGGGGGGCUGCUCCUAGUACGAGAGGACCGGAGUGGACGCAUCACUGGUGUUCGGGUUGUCAUGCCAAUGGCACUGCCCGGUAGCUAAAUGCGGAAGAGAUAAGUGCUGAAAGCAUCUAAGCACGAAACUUGCCCCGAGAUGAGUUCUCCCUGAGACUUUAAGUCUCCUGAAGGAACGUUAAAGACGAUGACGUUGAUAGGCCGGGUGUGUAAGCGCAGCGAUGCGUUGAGCUAACCGGUACUAAUGAACCGUGAGGCUUAACCUUACAACGCCGAAG